UAUCGUUCGGUCGUAAAUCUAUAAACGGUAAAUCCUAUAGCGUGAUUUCCAGAGGAAAAUCGUCGACAAUUUGCCAAGGGGGCCACCUGCGAGGCAACGCGAGGAGAACCUGUUUACGUGUAUAGGUAGCUGAUUCUUGAAUCUAUACUCGAAGAAGAUUCAUAGUCGUUCCAAUAAAGUAGUGAUAUAGCACUACUUCGAAAUGAAAGGCUACAUUUAUAAUUUUUGUGGAAACAAAAGGAGUUGCUGUAAUAAACUAAUGAGAAACAAUAUUUGUGAUAUUUCAAUCUCUGCAAUCAUUUUUACUACGUAUAGAUAAAGAAGAAAUGGCUACCAUCUUUGAACAAUCGUAUGUUUAUUUAUCAAGGAGCAAUCAGAAUUGAUAUAUAUAUACAUUUCAAGAAUUCAAUAUUUGCAUGGCAAUAACGAAUUGCGAAGCAGAAAAUCUAUGAAAAAGUUCACCAUCGAUAAGUUAAGAUAGUAGAAUUUUUAUAUCACUAGUGAUCGGUAAAUUUCAAAAGUAGAUAAUUUUAGCUAAACUGGAGUGCAAAUUAAAUGUUACAGAAACAAUGAUAAGGUUUUGACAUUUCGAUUUUGGCAAGGGCUCUUUCGAAAAACAUUCAUCCAGCAUCUUACAAGGAACGAAAACUCAUUUGAGUUAUGAAGGACGAAAACAAUUUUAUCUCCCAUUGCCUAGUUUUUUCUCGAGCGACAAGAAGAUGGCUCUAGCCGACUAAGAGGAAUCGACCCAUCGACGUACAUUAAAAUUGAAAAUGUAGAUUAGAAUCUGACUAGAAAAUAACUAAAUACUCGUUUAAUACUUUCUGUAUUGUUAAACUGGACGAUAGAGAUUUUGCAAUAGAUACUUUAAGCAAAAUACAAUGAUAUUAAGGCAGAUACAGGGUGAGCAAUGAUUGGUGAUCAAAACUUUCAGUGUAUAUAGUAGUCUUGAAAAAUAGCUAAAUAGUGUUAGUGAACACAAAUUUAGGAAUCUAGUCACCGAGUUAUGAAGAAUAAUUUGAUUUAACUACAAUAAGAGCACAAAGUAGCUUCUGAACAUUUAAACACAAGUCUGGAAAUAUUUUUCACUGAUAUGUGUACAUAUUCAAGUAGUUCGUGUUCAGAUAUUUUGAGAAGUGUACAUAGGAUUUUUGUAUCCUUUUUUAUCACAGAAAAUAAUAUUUACUUAUAGUAUUUGUGGAGGGCUAGUUUGUACUAAUUUUUGAUUGUUCUCAUUUCUAGCUUUGAUUACUGUGAUACAUCUAUAUCAAAAUAUAAACUUAACAUUAAUAAUAUCUAUUAUUCAUUACAAAAAUCUAGGACAGGUAACUUUGUAUCUGUAAUUAUAUAUUGUUUCUUUCAUUAUCCUUACCUUCUUACUUUCUAUUUCUAUAUGUAGAUUCAAGUAUAAAAUACCCUUGUUAAAUUUUUCCUGAAUACUCGAAAACUGUGACUUUCACACCCAUGCUUAUUAACGCUUAUUCGCAUAUCAUGACAAGUACUCCGAAUACCCAAUAUUUAAAUCAUCAAUAUCAGCACACCUCGCUCAAAGAUCCUUAGCCACGGCACGAUCAAAUACAAUGACAUGCCUAUCAAUCUACACAAUUCCAAUACGAUCUAUUAUUACGAAGAAAUAUCCCUGAUAAAAUGAAUUCA